rnacentral:tRNA from 1 species
GCGCCCGUGGUGAAAUGGAUAUCACUCGAGAUUCCGGGUCUCGCAUUCCGGGUUCGAAUCCUGGCGGGCGCGCCA